UGGGGAAUUUUGCACAAUGGGGGAAACCCUGAUGCAGCGACGCCGCGUGAUUUAGAAGGCCUUCGGGUUGUAAAAAUCUUUUCUAUGGGAAGAAAAUGACAGUACCAUAGGAAUAAGGACCGGCUAAUUACGUGCCAGCAGCCGCGGUAAUACGUAAGGUCCGAGCGUUGUCCGGAAUCAUUGGGCGUAAAGGGUACGUAGGCGGGUAAGCAAGUUAGAAGUGAAAUCCUAUAGCUCAACUAUAGUAAGCUUUUAAAACUGCUCAUCUUGAGGUAUGGAAGGGAAAGUGGAAUUCCUAGUGUAGCGGUGAAAUGCGCAAAUAUUAGGAGGAAUACAGGUGGCGAAGGCGACUUUCUGGCCAUAACCUGACGCUGAGGUACGAAAGCGUGGGUAGCAAACAGG
rnacentral:rRNA from 1 species